rnacentral:rRNA from 1 species
GACGAACGCUGGCGGCGUGCUUAACACAUGCAAGUCGAACGGAAAGGCCCUGCUUUUGUGGGGUGCUCGAGUGGCGAACGGGUGAGUAACACGCGAGUAACCUGCCCUUGACUUUGGUAUAACUUCAGGAAACUGGGGCUAAUACCGGAUAGGAGCUCCUGCUGCAUGGUGGGGGUUGGAAAGUUUCGGCGGUUGGGGAUGGACUCGCGGCUUAUCAGCUUGUUGGUGGGGUAGUGGCUUACCAAGGCUUUGACGGGUAGCCGGCCUGAGAGGGUGACCGGCCACAUUGGGACUGAGAUACGGCCCAGACUCCUACGGGAGGCAGCAGUGGGGAAUAUUGCACAAUGGGCGGAAGCCUGAUGCAGCAACGCCGCGUGCGGGAUGACGGCCUUCGGGUUGUAAACCGCUUUCGCCUGUGACGAAGCGUGAGUGACGGUAAUGGGUAAAGAAGCACCGGCUAACUACGUG